rnacentral:rRNA from 1 species
UGAGCUGUGAUGGGGAGAAGACAUUGUGUCUUCGAGUCGUUGAUUUCACACUGCCGAGAAAAGCCUCUAGAUAGAAAAUAGGUGCCCGUACCGCAAACCGACACAGGUAGUCAAGAUGAGAAUUCUAAGGUGAGCGAGCGAACUCUCGUUAAGGAACUCGGCAAAAUGACCCCGUAACUUCGGGAGAAGGGGUGCUCUUUAGGGUUAACGCCCAGAAGAGCCGCAGUGAAUAGGCCCAAGCGACUGUUUAUCAAAAACACAGGUCUCUGCUAAACCGUAAGGUGAUGUAUAGGGGCUGACGCCUGCCCGGUGCUGGAAGGUUAAGAGGAGUGGUUAGCUUCUGCGAAGCUACGAAUCGAAGCCCCAGUAAACGGCGGCCGUAACUAUAACGGUCCUAAGGUAGCGAAAUUCCUUGUCGGGUAAGUUCCGACCCGCACGAAAGGCGUAACGAUUUGGGCACUGUCUCAACGAGAGACUCGGUGAAAUCAUAGUACCUGUGAAGAUGCAGGUUACCCGCGACAGGACGGAAAGACCCCGUGGAGCUUUACUGUAGCCUGAUAUUGAAAUUCGGCACAGCUUGUACAGGAUAGGUAGGAGCCUUUGAAACGUGAGCGCUAGCUUACGUGGAGGCGCUGGUGGGAUACUACCCUAGCUGUGUUGGCUUUCUAACCCGCACCACUUAUCGUGGUGGGAGACAGUGUCAGGCGGGCAGUUUGACUGGGGCGGUCGCCUCCUAAAAGGUAACGGAGGCGCUCAAAGGUUCCCUCAGAAUGGUUGGAAAUCAUUCAUAGAGUGUAAAGGCAUAAGGGAGCUUGACUGCGAGACCUACAAGUCGAGCAGGGUCGAAAGACGGACUUAGUGAUCCGGUGGUUCCGCAUGGAAGGGCCAUCGCUCAACGGAUAAAAGCUACCCCGGGGAUAACAGGCUUAUCUCCCCCAAGAGUUCACAUCGACGGGGAGGUUUGGCACCUCGAUGUCGGCUCAUCGCAUCCUGGGGCUGUAGUCGGUCCCAAGGGUUGGGCUGUUCGCCCAUUAAAGCGGUACGCGAGCUGGGUUCAGAACGUCGUGAGACAGUUCGGUCCCUAUCCGUCGUGGGCGUAGGAAAUUUGAGAGGAGCUGUCCUUAGUACGAGAGGACCGGGAUGGACAUACCUCUGGUGUACCAGUUGUCGUGCCAACGGCAUAGCUGGGUAGCUAUGUGUGGACGGGAUAAGUGCUGAAAGCAUCUAAGCAUGAAGCCCCCCUCAAGAUGAGAUUUCCCAACUUCGGUUAUAAGAUCCCUCAAAGAUGAUGAGGUUAAUAGGUUCGAGGUGGAAGCAUGGUGACAUGUGGAGCUGACGAAUACUAAUCGAUCGAAGACUUAAUC